UGACUUAUUUGGUUAAAGUACCUGUCUAGUAAACAGGAGAUCCUGAGUUUGAAUCACAG
rfam:Papio anubis isolate 1X1155 chromosome 8, whole genome shotgun sequence.